rnacentral:rRNA from 1 species
AGGAUCAUUACAGAGUGUAGGGUUCCUAGCGAGCCCAACCUCCCACCCGUGUUUACUGUACCUUAGUUGCUUCGGCGGGCCCGCCAUUCAUGGCCGCCGGGGGCUCUCAGCCCCGGGCCCGCGCCCGCCGGAGACACCACGAACUCUGUCUGAUCUAGUGAAGUCUGAGUUGAUUGUAUCGCAAUCAGUUAAAACUUUCAACAAUGGAUCUCUUGGUUCCGGCAUCGAUGAAGAACGCAGCGAAAUGCGAUAACUAGUGUGAAUUGCAGAAUUCCGUGAAUCAUCGAGUCUUUGAACGCACAUUGCGCCCCCUGGUAUUCCGGGGGGCAUGCCUGUCCGAGCGUCAUUGCUGCCCAUCAAGCACGGCUUGUGUGUUGGGUCGUCGUCCCCUCUCCGGGGGGGACGGGCCCCAAAGGCAGCGGCGGCACCGCGUCCGAUCCUCGAGCGUAUGGGGCUUUGUCACCCGCUCUGUAGGCCCGGCCGGCGCUUGCCGAACGCAAAUCAAUCUUUUUCCAGGUUGACCUCGGAUCAGGUAGGGAUACCCGCUGAACUUAAGCAUAUC